rnacentral:rRNA from 1 species
GCAUCUGUGCAUGCAGCAUAUCAAUAAGCGGAGGAAAAGAAACUAACAAGGAUUCCCUUAGUAACGGCGAGUGAAGCGGGAAGAGCUCAAAUUUGAAAUCUUCAAGGUUUUACCUUGACGAAUUGUAGUUUAAAGAAGUGUUUUCUGUUGAAGUUUUGGUAAAAGUUCUUUGGAAUAGGACAUCAUAGAGGGUGAGAAUCCCGUAUUUGACCAUUAUUUUCAGCUGUGUGAUACACUUUCAAAGAGUCGGAUUGUUUGGGAAUGCAGUCCAAAAUGGGUGGUAAAUUUCAUCUAAAGCUAAAUAUUGGCGAGAGACCGAUAGCGAACAAGUACCGUGAGGGAAAGAUGAAAAGAACUUUGAAAAGAGAGUUAAACAGGUACGUGAAAUUGUCAAAAGGGAAGCGUUUGACACCAGUGUUGUUUUCUCGAAAAUCAAUUAAAAAGAGUUAGGAUUUUGUGUUGUAUUGACCUUAACAGCUUGCAUUUCACUCUUUUCCUAGCUUUUUUUAAUGCACUUUUCGUUUAACAAGUCAACAUCAGUUUCUUUUGUUGUAAAAAGGUCAUUGGAAGGUGGCUUUCUUUUCGGAGAAAGUGUUUAUAGCCUUUGACUCCUGCAAUCGGAGAGACUGAGGUCUGCAGCGUAGAUCCUUCGGGGUUAGAUACAUUUGUGCUAAGUUAUAGCUUUUUAUAGACAACUUGUUGACUAUGAUUAGUCUUGUAGCUUACUCGCUUAUGCUAUUUUACCUACGCUUAGGAUGUUGACGCGCGUGUGUGCGUG